rnacentral:rRNA from 1 species
UAAUACGGAGGGCGCAAGCGUUAAUCGGAAUCACUGGGCGUAAAGCGUGCGUAGGCUGCUUGAUAAGUCAGACGUGAAAUCCCUCGGCUCAACCGGGGAACUGCGUUUGAUACUGUCGAGCUAGAGUCCUGGAGAGGGUGGCGGAAUUCCUGGUGUAGGAGUGAAAUCCGUAGAUAUCAGGAGGAACACCGGUGGCGAAGGCGGCCACCUGGACAGGUACUGACGCUGAGGUACGAAAGCGUGGGGAGCAAACAGG